rnacentral:rRNA from 1 species
AAAACUUUCAACAACGGAUCUCUUGGCUCUGGCAUCGAUGAAGAACGCAGCGAAAUGCGAUAAGUAAUGUGAAUUGCAGAAUUCAGUGAAUCAUCGAAUCUUUGAACGCACAUUGCGCCCGCCAGUAUUCUGGCGGGCAUGCCUGUUCGAGCGUCAUUACAACCCUCAGGCCCCCGGGCCUGGCGUUGGGGAUCGGCGGAAGCCCCCUGCGGGCACAACGCCGUCCCCCAAAUACAGUGGCGGUCCCGCCGCAGCUUCCAUUGCGUAGCAGCUAACACCUCGCAACUGGAGAGCGGCGCGGCCACGCCGUAAAACACCCAACUUCUGAAUGUUGACCUCGAAUCAGGUAGGAAUACCCGCUGAACUUAAGCAUAUCAAUAAGCGGAGGAAAAGAAACCAACAGGGAUUGCCCCAGUAACGGCGAGUGAAGCGGCAACAGCUCAAAUUUGAAAUCUGGCUCUCGGGCCCGAGUUGUAAUUUGUAGAGGAUGCUUUUGGUGAGGUGCCUUCCGAGUUCCCUGGAACGGGACGCCAUAGAGGGUGAGAGCCCCGUCUGGUUGGACACCGAUCCUCUGUAAAGCUCCUUCGACGAGUCGAGUAGUUUGGGAAUGCUGCUCUAAAUGGGAGGUAUAUGUCUUCUAAAGCUAAAUACCGGCCAGAGACCGAUAGCGCACAAGUAGAGUGAUCGAAAGAUGAAAAGAACUUUGAAAAGAGAGUUAAAAAGUACGUGAAAUUGUUGAAAGGGAAGCGCUUGUGACCAGACUUGGGCUUGGUUGAUCAUCCGGGGUUCUCCCCGGUGCACUCUUCCGGCUCAGGCCAGCAUCAGUUCGCCCUGGGGGAUAAAGGCUUCGGGAAUGUGGCUCUCUCCGGGGAGUGUUAUAGCCCGCUGCGUAAUACCCUGUGGCGGACUGAGGUUCGCGCAUUCGCAAGGAUGCUGGCGUAAUGGUCAUCAGUGACCCGUCUUGAAACACGGACC